GACGAACGCUGGCGGCGUGCUUAACACAUGCAAGUCGAACGGAAAGGCCCUGCUUUUGUGGGGUGCUCGAGUGGCGAACGGGUGAGUAACACGUGAGUAACCUGCCCUUGACUUUGGGAUAACUUCAGGAAACUGGGGCUAAUACCGGAUAGGAGCUCCUGCUGCAUGGUGGGGGUUGGAAAGUUUCGGCGGUUGGGGAUGGACUCGCGGCUUAUCAGCUUGUUGGUGGGGUAGUGGCUUACCAAGGCUUUGACGGGUAGCCGGCCUGAGAGGGUGACCGGCCACAUUGGGACUGAGAUACGGCCCAGACUCCUACGGGAGGCAGCAGUGGGGAAUACUGCACAAUGGGCGGAAGCCUGAUGCAGCAACGCCGCGUGCGGGAUGACGGCCUUCGGGUUGUAAACCGCUUUCGCCUGUGACGAAGCGUGAGUGACGGUAAUGGGUAAAGAAGCACCGGCUAACUACGUGCCAGCAGCCGCGGUGAUACGUAGGGUGCGAGCGUUGUCCGGAUUUAUUGGGCGUAAAGGGCUCGUAGGUGGUUGAUCGCGUCGGAAGUGUAAUCUUGGGGCUUAACCCUGAGCGUGCUUUCGAUACGGGUUGACUUGAGGAAGGUAGGGGAGAAUGGAAUUCCUGGUGGAGCGGUGGAAUGCGCAGAUAUCAGGAGGAACACCAGUGGCGAAGGCGGUUCUCUGGGCCUUUCCUGACGCUGAGGAGCGAAAGCGUGGGGAGCGAACAGGCUUAGAUACCCUGGUAGUCCACGCUGUAAACGGUGGGUACUAGGUGUGGGGUCCAUUCCACGGGUUCCGUGCCGUAGCUAACGCUUUAAGUACCCCGCCUGGGGAGUACGGCCGCAAGGCUAAAACUCAAAGGAAUUGACGGGGCCCCGCACAAGCGGCGGAGCAUGCGGAUUAAUUCGAUGCAACGCGUAGAACCUUACCUGGGUUUGACAUGGAUCGGGAGCGCUCAGAGAUGGGUGUGCCUCUUUUGGGGUCGGUUCACAGGUGGUGCAUGGCUGUCGUCAGCUCGUGUCGUGAGAUGUUGGGUUAAGUCCCGCAACGAGCGCAACCCUUGUUCACUGUCGCCAGCACGUUAUGGUGGGGACUCAGUGGAGACCGCCGGGGUCAACUCGGAGGAAGGUGGGGAUGACGUCAAGUCAUCAUGCCCCUUAUGUCCAGGGCUUCACGCAUGCUACAAUGGCUGGUACAGAGAGUGGCGAGCCUGUGAGGGUGAGCGAAUCUCGGAAAGCCGGUCUCAGUUCGGAUUGGGGUCUGCAACUCGACCUCAUGAAGUCGGAGUCGCUAGUAAUCGCAGAUCAGCAACGCUGCGGUGAAUACGUUCCCGGGGCU
rnacentral:rRNA from 1 species